rnacentral:rRNA from 1 species
AACGUAGGAGCCAAGCGUUAUCCGAAUUCACUGGGCGUAAAGCGCGUGCAGGUGGUCUGGUAAGUUGGGUGUGAAAUCUCCUGGCUCAACUGGGAGAGGACGUUCAAUACUGUCAGACUCGAGGGCGGUAGAGGGAGGUGGAAUUCCCGGUGUAGUGGUGAAAUGCGUAGAUAUCGGGAGGAACACCAGUGGCGAAAGCGGCCUCCUGGACCGCACCUGACGCUCAGACGCGAAAGCUAGGGGAG